rnacentral:rRNA from 1 species
GCGAACCGGGGGAACUGAAACAUCUAAGUACCCCGAGGAAAAGAAAUCAACCGAGAUUCCCCCAGUAGCGGCGAGCGAACGGGGAGGAGCCCAGAGCCUGAAUCAGCAUGUGUGUUAGUGGAAGCGUCUGGAAAGGCGCGCGAUACAGGGUGACAGCCCCGUACACAAAAGCGCAUGUGUUGUGAGCUCGAUGAGUAGGGCGGGACACGUGGUAUCCUGUCUGAAUAUGGGGGGACCAUCCUCCAAGGCUAAAUACUCCUGACUGACCGAUAGUGAACCAGUACCGUGAGGGAAAGGCGAAAAGAACCCCGGCGAGGGGAGUGAAAAAGAACCUGAAACCGUGUACGUACAAGCAGUGGGAGCACCCUUUGGGGUGUGACUGCGUACCUUUUGUAUAAUGGGUCAGCGACUUAUAUUCUGUAGCAAGGUUAACCGAAUAGGGGAGCCGGAGGGAAACCGAGUCUUAA